UACGUAGGGGGCGAGCGUUUGUCCGGAUUUAUUGGGCGUAAAGAGCGUGUAGGCGGCCAGGUAGGUCUGCUGUGAAAACUCGAGGCUCAACCUCGAGACGUCGGCGGAAACCAUCUGGCUAGAGUCCGGAAGAGGAGAGUGGAAUUCCUGGUGUAGCGGUGAAAUGCGCAGAUAUCAGGAAGAACACCCGUGGCGAGGCGGCUCUCUGGGACGGUACUGACGCUGAGACGCGAAAGCGUGGGAGCGAACAGG
rnacentral:rRNA from 1 species